GGAGUUAGCCGGUGCUUCUUCUGUGAGUGAUGUCCUUCCUGCCGGCUAUUAACCCGCAGGCCUUCUUCCUCACUGAAAGUGCUUUACAACCCGAAGGCCUUCUUCACACACGCGGCAUGGCUGGAUCAGGGUUGCCCCCAUUGUCCAAUAUUCCCCACUGCUGCCUCCCGUAGGAGUCUGGGCCGUGUCUCAGUCCCAGUGUGGCUGAUCAUCCUCUCAGACCAGCUACGGAUCGUCGCCUUGGUGAGCCGUUACCUCACCAACCAGCUAAUCCGACAUAGGCUCAUCCGAUAGCGCGAGGCCCGAAGGUCCCCCGCUUUCCCCCGUAGGCGUAUGCGGUAUUAGCCUGGGUUUCCCCAGGUUAUCCCCCACUACCGGGCAGAUUCCUAUGCAUUACUCACCCGUCCGCCGCUCGCCACCAGGGAGCAAGCUCCCCGUGCUGCCGCUCGACUUGCAUGUGUUAGGCCUGCCGCCAGCGUUCAAUCUGAGCCAGAAUCGAACCCUGA
rnacentral:rRNA from 1 species